AUAGGGACCUGUAUGAAUGGCAUAACGAGGGCUUGACUGUCUCCUUUUUCAAGUCAAUGAAAUUGAUCUCCCCGUGCAGAAGCGGGGAUAAGACCAUAAGACGAGAAGACCCUGUGGAGCUUUAGACACCCGGGCAGAUCAUGUUAAGCACCCACAAACAAAGAACCAAACUAGAUGAAUCCUGCCCCCAUGUC
rnacentral:rRNA from 1 species